rnacentral:rRNA from 1 species
AGAGUUUGAUCCUGGCUCAGGAUGAACGCUGGCGGCGUGCCUAAUACAUGCAAGUCGAGCGAACGGACGAGAAGCUUGCUUCUCUGAUGUUAGCGGCGGACGGGUGAGUAACACGUGGAUAACCUACCUAUAAGACUGGGAUAACUUCGGGAAACCGGAGCUAAUACCGGAUAAUAUUUUGAACCGCAUGGUUCAAAAGUGAAAGACGGUCUUGCUGUCACUUAUAGAUGGAUCCGCGCUGCAUUAGCUAGUUGGUAAGGUAACGGCUUACCAAGGCAACGAUGCAUAGCCGACCUGAGAGGGUGAUCGGCCACACUGGAACUGAGACACGGUCCAGACUCCUACGGGAGGCAGCAGUAGGGAAUCUUCCGCAAUGGGCGAAAGCCUGACGGAGCAACGCCGCGUGAGUGAUGAAGGUCUUCGGAUCGUAAAACUCUGUUAUUAGGGAAGAACAUAUGUGUAAGUAACUGUGCACAUCUUGACGGUACCUAAUCAGAAAGCCACGGCUAACUACGUGCCAGCAGCCGCGGUAAUACGUAGGUGGCAAGCGUUAUCCGGAAUUAUUGGGCGUAAAGCGCGCGUAGGCGGUUUUUUAAGUCUGAUGUGAAAGCCCACGGCUCAACCGUGGAGGGUCAUUGGAAACUGGAAAACUUGAGUGCAGAAGAGGAAAGUGGAAUUCCAUGUGUAGCGGUGAAAUGCGCAGAGAUAUGGAGGAACACCAGUGGCGAAGGCGACUUUCUGGUCUGUAACUGACGCUGAUGUGCGAAAGCGUGGGGAUCAAACAGGAUUAGAUACCCUGGUAGUCCACGCCGUAAACGAUGAGUGCUAAGUGUUAGGGGGUUUCCGCCCCUUAGUGCUGCAGCUAACGCAUUAAGCACUCCGCCUGGGGAGUACGACCGCAAGGUUGAAACUCAAAGGAAUUGACGGGGACCCGCACAAGCGGUGGAGCAUGUGGUUUAAUUCGAAGCAACGCGAAGAACCUUACCAAAUCUUGACAUCCUUUGACAACUCUAGAGAUAGAGCCUUCCCCUUCGGGGGACAAAGUGACAGGUGGUGCAUGGUUGUCGUCAGCUCGUGUCGUGAGAUGUUGGGUUAAGUCCCGCAACGAGCGCAACCCUUAAGCUUAGUUGCCAUCAUUAAGUUGGGCACUCUAAGUUGACUGCCGGUGACAAACCGGAGGAAGGUGGGGAUGACGUCAAAUCAUCAUGCCCCUUAUGAUUUGGGCUACACACGUGCUACAAUGGACAAUACAAAGGGCAGCGAAACCGCGAGGUCAAGCAAAUCCCAUAAAGUUGUUCUCAGUUCGGAUUGUAGUCUGCAACUCGACUACAUGAAGCUGGAAUCACUAGUAAUCGUAGAUCAGCAUGCUACGGUGAAUACGUUCCCGGGUCUUGUACACACCGCCCGUCACACCACGAGAGUUUGUAACACCCGAAGCCG